ACUCCUGCGGGAGGCAGCAGUGGGGAAUUUUGGACAAUGGGCGAAAGCCUGAUCCAGCAAUGCCGCGUGAGUGAAGAAGGCCUUCGGGUUGUAAAGCUCUUUUGUCAGGGAAGAAACGGUGAGAGCUAAUAUCUCUUGCUAAUGACGGUACCUGAAGAAUAAGCACCGGCUAACUACGUGCCAGCAGCCGCGGUAAUACGUAGGGUGCAAGCGUUAAUCGGAAUUACUGGGCGUAAAGCGUGCGCAGGCGGUUUUGUAAGUCUGAUGUGAAAUCCCCGGGCUCAACCUGGGAAUUGCAUUGGAGACUGCAAGGCUAGAAUCUGGCAGAGGGGGGUAGAAUUCCACGUGUAGCAGUGAAAUGCGUAGAUAUGUGGAGGAACACCGAUGGCGAAGGCAGCCCCCUGGGUCAAGAUUGACGCUCAUGCACGAAAGCGUGGGGAGCAAACAGGAUUAGAAACCCCAGUAGUCCCAUGA
rnacentral:rRNA from 1 species